UACGUAGGGUGCAAGCGUUGUCCGGAAUUAUUGGGCGUAAAGAGCUCGUAGGCGGUUUGUCGCGUCUGCUGUGAAAACUCGGGGCUUAACUCCGGGCCUGCAGUGGGUACGGGCAGACUAGAGUGCGGUAGGGGAGACUGGAAUUCCUGGUGUAGCGGUGAAAUGCGCAGAUAUCAGGAGGAACACCAAUGGCGAAGGCAGAUCUCUGGGCCGUAACUGACGCUGAGGAGCGAAAGCAUGGGGAGCGAACAGG
rnacentral:rRNA from 1 species